rnacentral:rRNA from 1 species
GACGAACGCUGGCGGCGUGCUUAACACAUGCAAGUCGAACGAAGUGGCGAACGGGUGAGUAACGCGUAAUCAACCUGCCCUUCAGAGGGGGACAACAGUUGGAAACGACUGCUAAUACCGCAUACUGAAGGUGGGGAUUGCGUCGGAUUAGCUAGGUGGAGGGGUAACGGGCCACCAAGGCGAAGAUCAGUAGCCGGUCUGAGAGGAUGGACGGCCAAAAUGGGACUGAGACACGGCCCAGACUCCUACGGGAGGCAACAAGGGGGAAUCUUCCGCCAUGGAGGGAAGUCUUACGGAGCAACGCCGGGUGGGAGAUGACGGCCUUCGGGUUUUAAAGCUCUGUUAAUCGGGACGCGGUACCGGAAUAGAAAGCCACGGCUAACUACGUGCCAGCAGCCGCGGUAAUAC